AUGGUAGUGGUAGUAAUGAUGACAGUAGUGGUAGUGGUAGUAAUGAUGAUAGUAGUGGUAGUAAUGAUGACAGUAGUGGUAGUGGUAGUAAUGAUGAUAGUUGAGGUAGUAAUGAUGAUAAUAGUGGUAGUAAUGAUGAUAGUAGUGGUAGUAAUGAUGAUAGUAAUGGUAGUAAUGAUGAUAGUAGUGGUAGUAGUAGUAGUAAUGAUGAUAGUAGAGGUAGUAAUGAUGAUACAAGUGUUAGUAAUGAUGAUAGUAGUGGGAGUAAUGAUGAUAGUAGAGGUAGUAGUAGUAAUGAUGAAUGUAGUCAUAGUAAUGAUGAUAGUUUUGGUAGUGGUAUUAAUGAUGAUAGUAGUGGUAGUGGUACUAAUGAUGAUAGUAGUGGGAGUAAUAGUUGUAAUGAUGAUAAUAGUGGUAUUGGUGGCAAUUAUGAGAGUAGUGGUAGUGGUAGUAAUGAUGAUUGUAGUGGUAGUGGUAGGGGUAGUAAUGAUGAUAGUAUUGGUUGUGGCAGUAAUGAUGAUGAUAGUAGUGGUAGUAAAGAUGGUGAUAGUAGUGGUAGUGGUAGUAAUGAUGAUUGUAGUGGUAGUAGUAGUAAGUUUGAUAGUAGUGAUAGUAGUAGUAAUGAUUAUGGUGGUAGUUGCAGUAAUUAUGAUAGUAUUGGUAGUAAUAGGAGCAAUUAUGAUAGUUGUGGAAGUAAUUAUGAUAGUAAUGGUAGUAAUAUUAGUAAUGGUAAUAGUAGUGGUAGUAAUGAUGAUAGUAGUGGUGGUGGUAGUAAUGAUGAUAGUUGUGGUAGUAAUGGUGAUAGUAGUGGUAGUAAUGAUGAUAGUAGUGGUAGGAAUGAUGAUAGUAGUGGUAGUAGUAAUAGUAAUGAUGAUGGUAGAGGUAGUAAUUAUUAUAGUAGCUGUAGUAAUGAUGAUAGUAGUGGUAGUAAUGAUGAUAGUAGUGGUAGUAAUUGUAAUAAUGAUGAUAGUAUUGGUAGUGGUAUUAAUGAGGAUAGUAGUGGUAGUGGUAGUAAUGAUGAUAGUAUUGGUUGUGGCAGUAAUGAUGAUGAUAGUAGUGGUAGUAAAGAUGGUGAUAGUAGUGGUAGUGGUAGUAAUGAUGAUUGUAGUGGUAGUAGUAGUAAGUAUGAUAGUAGUGAUAGUAGUAGUAAUGAUGAUGGUGGUAGUUGCAGUAAUUAUGAUAGUAUUGGUAGUAAUAGGAGCAAUUAUGAUAGUUGUGGAAGUAAUUAUGAUAGUAAUGGUAGUAAUAUUAGUAAUGGUAAUAGUAGUGGUAGCAAUGAUGAUAGUAGUGGUGGUGGUAGUAAUGAUGAUAGUUGUGGUAGUAAUGGUGAUAGUAGUGGGAGUAAUGAUGAUAGUAGUGGUAGUAAUGAUGAUAGUAGUGGUAGGAAUGAUGAUAGUAGUGGUAGUAGUAAUAGUAAUGAUGAUGGUAGAGGUAGUAAUUAUUAUAGUAGCUGUAGUAAUGAUGAUAGUAGUGGUAGUAAUGAUGAUAGUAGUGGUAGGAAUGAUGAUAGUAGAGGUAGCAGUAGUAGUAAUGAUGAUAGUAGAGGUUGUAAUGAUGAUAAUAGUGGUAGUAAUGAUGAUAGUAGAGAAAGUAAUGAUGAUAGUAGUGGUAGUAGUAGUAAUAAUGAAUGUAGUCGUCGUAAUGAUGAUAGUAGUGGCAGUAAUGAUGAUAGUAGUAGCAGUAAUGAUGCUGGUAGUGGUAGUGGUAGCAAUUAUGAUAGUAUUGGUAGUGGUAGUAAUAAUGAUAGUAUUGGUAGUGGUAUCAAUGAUGAUAGUAGUGGUAGUGGUGGUAACGAUGAUAGUAGUGGUAGUAAAAGUUGUAAUGAUGAUAAUAGUGGUAGUGGUAGUAAUGAUUAUAGUAGUGGUGGUAAUGAUGAUAGUACUGGUAGUGGUGGUAAUAAUGAUAGUAGUGGUAGUGGUAGUACUGAUGCAGUUAGCGGUAGUCAUAGUAAUGAUGAUAGUAGUGGUAGUGGUAGUAAUGAUGAUAGCAGUGGUAGUAAUGAUGAUAGUAGUGGUAGUAGUAGUAAUGAUGAUAGUAGUGGUAGAAGUAGUAAUUAUGAUUGUAGUGAUAGUGGUAGUAAUGAUGAUAGUAGUGGUAGUAAAGAUGGUGAUAUUAGUGGUAGUGGUAGUAAUUAUGAUAGUAGUGGUAGUAAUGAUGAUAGUAGUGGUGGUGGUAGUAAUGAUGAUAGUUGUGGUAGUAAUGGUGAUAGUAGUGGUAGUAAUGAUGAUAGUAGUGGUAGUAAUGAUGAUAGUAGUGGUAGGAAUGAUGAUAGUAGUGUUAGUAGUAAUAGUAAUGAUGAUGGUAGAGGUAGUAAUUAUUAUAGUAGCUGUAGUAAUGAUGAUAGUAGUGGUGGUAACGAUGAUAGUAGUGGUAGUAAAAGUUGUAAUGAUGAUAAUAGUGGUAUUGGUAGUAAUGAUUAUAGUAGUGGUGGUAAUGAUAAUAGUACUGGUAGUGGUAGAAAUGAUGAUAGUAGUGGUGGUAAUAAUGAUAGUAGUGGUAGUGGUAGUACUGAUGAAGGUAGUGGUAGUCAUAGUAAUGAUGAUAGUAGUGGUAGUGGUAGUAAUGAUGAUAAUAGUGGUAGUAAUGAUGAUAGUAGUGAAAGUAAUGAUGCUAGUAGUGGUAGUGGUAGCAAUUAUGAUAGUAUUGGUUGUGGUAGUAAUAAUGAUAGUAUUGGUAGUGGUAUCAAUGAUGAUAGUAGUGGUAGUGGUGGUAACGAUGAUAGUAGUGGUAGUAAAAGUUGUAAUGAUGAUAAUAGUGGUAUUGGUAGUAAUGAUUAUAGUAGUGGUGAUAAUGAUGAUAGUACUGGUAGUGGUAGUAAUGAUGAUAGUAGUGGUGGUAAUAAUGAUAGUAGUGGUAGUGGUAGUACUGAUGAAAGUAGUGGUAGUCAUAGUAAUGAUGAUAGUAGUGGUAGUGGUAGUAAUGAUGAUAGUAGUGGUAGUAAUGAUGAUAGUAGUGGUAGUAGUAGUAAUGAUGAUAUUAGUGGUAGAAGUAGUAAUUAUGAUUGUAGUGAUAGUGGUAGUAAUGAUGAUAAUAGUGGUAGUAAAGAUGGUGAUAUUAGUGGUAGUGGUAGUAAUGAUGAUAGUAGUGGUAGUAGUAAUUAUGAUAGUAGUGAUAGUAGUAGUAAUGAUGAUGGUGGUAGUUGUAGAAAUUAUGAAAAUAUUGGAAGUAAUAGGAGCAAUUAUGAGAGUAGUGGAAGUAAUUAUGAUAGUAAUGAUGAUAGUCGUGGCAGUAAUGAUGAUAGUAGUCGUAGUGGUAGUAUUGAUGAUAGUAGAGGUAGUAAUUAUGAUAAUAAAGGUAGUAAUGAUGAUAGUAGUGGUAGUAAGGAUAAUAGUAGUGGUAGUAAUGAUGAUAGUAGGGGUAGUAAUGAUGAUAGUGGUGGUAGUAGUAGUAGUAAUGAUGAUAGUAGAGGUAGUAAUGAUGAUAAUAGUGGUAGAAAUGAUUAUAGUAGUGGAGGUAAUGAUGAUAGUAGUGGUAGUAGUAGUAAUGAUGAUAGUAGUAGCAGUAAUGAUGAUAGUAGUGGUAGUGGUAGCAAUUAUGAUAGUAGUGGUAGUGGUGGUAAUGAUGAUAGUAGUGGUAGUAAUAGUUGUAAUAAUGAUAAUAGUGGUAGUGGUAGUCGUGAUGGUAGUAUUGGCAGUGGUAGUAAUGAUGAU
rnacentral:lncRNA from 13 species